AUUGAACGCUGGCGGCAGGCCUAACACAUGCAAGUCGAACGAGUGGCGGACGGGUGAGUAAUGUAUGGGAAACUGCCCGAUGGAGGGGGAUAACUACUGGAAACGGUAGCUAAUACCGCAUACCAUCGGAUGUGCCCAGAUGGGAUUCGCGAGUAGGUGGGGUAACGGCUCACCUAGGAGACGAUCCCUAGCUGGUGUGAGAGGAGGAUCAGCCACACUGGAACUGAGACACGGUCCAGACUCCUACGGAAGGCAGCAGUGGGGAAUAUUGCACAAUGGGCGCAAGCCUGAGGCAGCCAUGCCGCGUGUAUGAAGAAGGCCUUCGGGUUGUAAAGUACUUUCAGCGAGGAGGCGUUACUCGCAGAAGAAGCACCGGCUAACUCCGUGCCAGCAGCCGCGGUAAUUC
rnacentral:rRNA from 1 species